rnacentral:rRNA from 1 species
AGAGUUUGAUCCUGGCUCAGGAUGAACGCUGGCGGCGUGCCUAACACAUGCAAGUCGAACGAAGCUUGACGGAUGAUUUCUUCGGAAUGAAACCAGAUAUGACUUAGUGGCGGACGGGUGAGUAACACGUGAGCAACCUGCCUUUCAGAGGGGGAUAACGGCUGGAAACGGUCGCUAAUACCGCAUGAUGUGUUCGGAUGGCAUCAUCUGAACAUCAAAGAUUUAUCGCUGAAAGAUGGGCUCGCGUCUGAUUAGAUAGUUGGUGGGGUAACGGCCUACCAAGUCGACGAUCAGUAGCCGGACUGAGAGGUUGAACGGCCACAUUGGGACUGAGAUACGGCCCAGACUCCUACGGGAGGCAGCAGUGGGGAAUAUUGCACAAUGGGGGAAACCCUGAUGCAGCAACGCCGCGUGAGUGAAGAAGUAUUUCGGUAUGUAAAGCUCUAUCAGCAGGGAAGAUAAUGACGGUACCUGACUAAGAAGCACCGGCUAAAUACGUGCCAGCAGCCGCGGUAAUACGUAUGGUGCAAGCGUUAUCCGGAUUUACUGGGUGUAAAGGGAGCGCAGGCGGUGCGGCAAGUCUGAUGUGAAAGCCCGGGGCUCAACCCCGGUACUGCAUUGGAAACUGUCGUACUAGAGUGUCGGAGGGGUAAGCGGAAUUCCUAGUGUAGCGGUGAAAUGCGUAGAUAUUAGGAGGAACACCAGUGGCGAAGGCGGAUUGCUGGACAGCAACUGACGGUGAGGCGCGAAAGUGUGGGGAGCAAACAGGAUUAGAUACCCUGGUAGUCCACACUGUAAACGAUGAUAGCUAGGUGUGGGGGGUCUGACCCCUUCCGUGCCGGAGUUAACGCAAUAAGCUAUCCACCUGGGGAGUACGACCGCAAGGUUGAAACUCAAAGGAAUUGACGGGGGCCCGCACAAGCAGUGGAUUAUGUGGUUUAAUUCGAAGCAACGCGAAGAACCUUACCAGGUCUUGACAUCCGACUAACGAGAUAGAGAUAUGUCAGGUGCCCUUCGGGGAAAGUCGAGACAGGUGGUGCAUGGUUGUCGUCAGCUCGUGUCGUGAGAUGUUGGGUUAAGUCCCGCAACGAGCGCAACCCCUGCCAUUAGUUGCUACGCAAGAGCACUCUAAUGGGACCGCUACCGACAAGGUGGAGGAAGGUGGGGACGACGUCAAAUCAUCAUGCCCCUUAUGACCUGGGCUACACACGUAAUACAAUGGCCGUUAACAGAGGGAAGCAAAGCGGUGACGCAGAGCAAAACCCUAAAAACGGUCCCAGUUCGGACUGUAGGCUGCAACCCGCCUACACGAAGUUGGAAUUGCUAGUAAUCGCGGAUCAGCAUGCCGCGGUGAAUACGUUCCCGGGCCUUGUACACACCGCCCGUCACACCAUGGGAGUUUGUAACACCCGAAGUCAGUGACCCAACCGCAAGGAGGGAGCUGCCGAAGGUGGGAUAAGCGACUGGGGUGAAGUCGUAACAAGGUAGCCGUAGGAGAACCUGCGGCUG